GACGAACGCUGGCGGCGUGCUUAAUACAUGCAAGUCGAACGGAAAGGCCCUUCUUUUGUGUGCUGCUCGAGUGUCGCACGGGUGAGUACCACGGGAGUAACCUGCCCUAGACUAUGGGCUAACUUCAGUGAACUGAGCCCAAUACCGGAUAGGUGCUCCUGCUGCAUGGAUGGGGCUGGAUAGUUCCGGCGGGUGGGGAUGGACUCCCGGCUUAUCAGCUUGUUGGUGGGGUAGUUGCCUACCAAGGGUUUGACGGGUAGGCGGCCUGAGAGGGUGACCGGCCACAUUGGGACUGAGAUACGGCGCAGACUCCUACGGGAGGCAGCAGUGGGGAAUAUGGCACAAUGGGCGGACGCCUGAGGCAGCAACGCCGCGUGCGGGAUGACGGCCUGCGGGUGGUAAACCGCUGUCGCCGGUGACGAAGCGUGAGUGACGGUAAUGGGUAAAGAAGCACCGGCUAACUACGUG
rnacentral:rRNA from 1 species